rnacentral:rRNA from 1 species
GACGAACGCUGGCGGCGUGCUUAACACAUGCAAGUCGAACGGAAAGGCCCUGCUUUUGUGGGGUGCUCGAGUGGCGAACGGGUGAGUAACACGUGAGUAACCUGCCCUUGACUUUGGGAUAACUUCAGGAAACUGGGGCUAAUACCGGAUAGGACCUCCUGCUGCAUGGUGGGGGUUGGAAAGUUUCGGCGGUUGGGGAUGGACUCGCGGCUUAUCAGCUUGUUGGUGGGGUAGUGGCUUACCAAGGCUUUGACGGGUAGCCGGCCUGAGAGGGUGACCGGCAACAUUGGGACUGAGACACGGCCCAGACUCCUUCGGAAGGAAGCAGUGGGGAAUAUUGCACAAGGGACGGAGGCGUGAUGCAGCAACUCGGCGUGCGGGAAGACGGCCUUCGGGUAGUAAGCCACUUUCGCCUGUAACGACGCGUGAGCGACGGUAAUGGGAAAAGAGGCACCGGCGAACUACGU